AGUGAACGCUGGCGGUAGGCCUAACACAUGCAAGUCGAACGGCAGCACAGUAAGAGCUUGCUCUUACGGGUGGCGAGUGGCGGACGGGUGAGGAAUACAUCGGAAUCUACUUUUUCGUGGGGGAUAACGUAGGGAAACUUACGCUAAUACCGCAUACGACCUACGGGUGAAAGCAGGGGAUCUUCGGACCUUGCGCGAUUGAAUGAGCCGAUGUCGGAUUAGCUAGUUGGCGGGGUAAAGGCCCACCAAGGCGACGAUCCGUAGCUGGUCUGAGAGGAUGAUCAGCCACACUGGAACUGAGACACGCUCCAGACUCCUACGGGAGGCAGCAGUGGGGAAUAUUGGACAAUGGGCGCAAGCCUGAUCCAGCCAUACCGCGUCGGUGAAGAAGGCCUUCGGGUUGUAAAGACCUUUUGUUGGGAAAGAAAAGCAGCAGGUUAAUACCCCGCUGUUCUGACGGUACCCAAAGAAUAAGCACCGGCUAACUUCGUG
rnacentral:rRNA from 1 species